rnacentral:rRNA from 1 species
CCUACGGGGGGCUGCAGUGGGGAAUAUUGGACAAUGGGCGAAAGCCUGAUCCAGCCAUGCCGCGUGUGUGAAGAAGGCCUUCGGGUUGUAAAGCACUUUCAGUGGGGAAGAAAGCCUUGGGGCUAAUACCCUCGAGGAAGGACAUCACCCACAGAAGAAGCACCGGCUAACUCCGUGCCAGCAGCCGCGGUAAUACGGAGGGUGCGAGCGUUAAUCGGAAUUACUGGGCGUAAAGCGCGCGUAGGCGGUCUGAUAAGCCGGUUGUGAAAGCCCCGGGCUCAACCUGGGAACAGCAUCCGGAACUGUAAGGCUAGAGUGCAGGAGAGGAAGGUAGAAUUCCCGGUGUAGCGGUGAAAUGCGUAGAGAUCGGGAGGAAUACCAGUGGCGAAGGCGGCCUUCUGGACUGACACUGACGCUGAGGUGCGAAAGCGUGGGUAGCAAACAGGAUUAGAUACCCUGGUAGUC